UGCAAGUCGAGCGAACAGACGAGGAGCUUGCUCCUCUGACGUUAGCGGCGGACGGGUGAGUAACACGUGGAUAACCUACCUAUAAGACUGGGAUAACUUCGGGAAACCGGAGCUAAUACCGGAUAAUAUAUUGAACCGCAUGGUUCAAUAGUGAAAGACGGUUUUGCUGUCACUUAUAGAUGGAUCCGCGCCGCAUUAGCUAGUUGGUAAGGUAACGGCUUACCAAGGCAACGAUGCGUAGCCGACCUGAGAGGGUGAUCGGCCACACUGGAACUGAGACACGGUCCAGACUCCUACGGGAGGCAGCAGUAGGGAAUCUUCCGCAAUGGGCGAAAGCCUGACGGAGCAACGCCGCGUGAGUGAUGAAGGUCUUCGGAUCGUAAAACUCUGUUAUUAGGGAAGAACAAAUGUGUAAGUAACUAUGCACGUCUUGACGGUACCUAAUCAGAAAGCCACGGCUAACUACGUGCCAGCAGCCGCGGUAAUACGUAGGUGGCAAGCGUUAUCCGGAAUUAUUGGGCGUAAAGCGCGCGUAGGCGGUUUUUUAAGUCUGAUGUGAAAGCCCACGGCUCAACCGUGGAGGGUCAUUGGAAACUGGAAAACUUGAGUGCAGAAGAGGAAAGUGGAAUUCCAUGUGUAGCGGUGAAAUGCGCAGAGAUAUGGAGGAACACCAGUGGCGAAGGCGACUUUCUGGUCUGUAACUGACGCUGAUGUGCGAAAGCGUGGGGAUCAAACAGGAUUAGAUACCCUGGUAGUCCACGCCGUA
rnacentral:rRNA from 1 species